AUACUACGUGGGAUUUCCCUCAAAAGAUAACAUGGAGUUCAUUGAGACACGCCAAUGACAUCAGCCUAUAUGAUUUCCAUCAACUGCAGUAAAGAUUGUGCUAUAAAUUGUUGCUGACUUUUGUGAAAUUUGACAAAAAUAAAUGGACAUGUCAAUGGUGUUGGAGCUGACAAAGGAAAAUCUUUAUUUGGCAAAUAAUGGACAAAUGGUGACAUUAAGUGUAGCUAAAACAUCUUAUGUGCCAAUGUUAUUCAUUCAACACAAUUAUUAAAACUGGGUCUAAAAAAAAUGACUAAAUUGCUUUGUCAAUGAAGCCAAAAUCAUUUUGGAGUAAUUUGCAUCAUCAAAUUUAUCCAUGGGAAAAGCAUUAGUCUUAUGUACGUGAAUUAAAAUAUACGAAAGCUUCAAUGAUUGAUGCAGAUAAUAAAAAGAGUUGACUAUUUAAAAUAAUCGAGACAACUGAGAUUGUGUUAAUGCUAAAAUAUGACAUGCAAAUACCAAGUAAAUCGUGUUAAUGUUAAAAGUUUUAUAAGGUACGUUGACAUUAGUUAGUGUUACCAAGUGCUUAAAAAAUUGAGUAAAUUGUUUAUGAACUAUUCUAUAAUUCAAUGAUCAUGAAAUACUGGUACAUUUAUACCAUCAUCAAAAUGCACCAAGACCAUCCAAAUGACAUGCAUUCAUGCUUGAACAAUGAUGAAUCCUCAAUAAUGAAAAGUUACUGUCUCAAUAAGUCAUGAACUAUCUGAUAAAAUAUUAUUAGCAAACUUUAUCUUUGUUUUACUACAAAAUUCAAUAACAUCAUAUUUAUGCUCUUGCUAAUGUACCACUAAUUGUUGCUAUUGGUAAACAUUUUGUACCACUUGAUGCUGAGCUAAAUCUACUUUCAACGAAAAUAAUUUGGUAGGUCGGUUGUUGUUGUUGUUGUUGCUCAUCGAUCAACACGUGUUAGUGCUUGGAGAAUCGGCCGCCUCUGCCCGAAAGAAUGUAACAAGCAUUCUCACGCUUGCUCACAAAGCCAUAUGUUAAGUGUUAACAACAACUGACUCGAGAGAUCUCUUUUUUUUCGAGCCUGAUAGACUAUUUCCAAAUAAUAACAAUAAUAAAAUAUUCAUUUAAAAAGUGUUAAAUAGAAGGAAAAAAAAAGAACUGAUUCGUAAACUAUAUAGGUCAAUAAUAUUUUGGUUUUUUUCGGUAACAAGUGGUGUAAUAUUCAUGAUGGUGAAAAGUGUUUAAAAAAAUAAGUGAAAAGUGGUGAUUAUUGUUUUGUGUGUGUAGUGCUUGUUUUGUGUGUGUGAUCAUUGAUCAAUAACCAUUGAACCUGUUGCUGAUCAGAUUGAAUCAUCACAUGAACUACAUGGAGUGCAGUAUCCUGAGCAAUUUGAUGACCAGUGUGGGAAGAUGAACAUCCGCUAAAAAGGUAGGAUUUUAUUUAAUUUAUUGCAUUGAUAUAAUUGCGUAUGGUCUUGAUUGUAAUUUGUAACUCUCCAUGAUAGUCCCCAAUAUAUUCUCUAGGUCAUCUUGCUUUAACAGCUAGCUUUAAAUUUGAUACCUAAGCUACUGUUUAGAUCACACACUUAUCGUUAUCGUUAUCAUGUACACCAAGGUACAUCAUAUAUCAGUGUGUAUAUAUAGAAACCCC
rnacentral:lncRNA from 1 species